AUUGAACGCUGGCGGCAGGCCUAACACAUGCAAGUCGAGCGAGCGGCGGACGGGUGAGUAAUAUAUGGGAAUCUGCCCGAUAGAGGGGGAUAACUACUGGAAACGGUGGCUAAUACCGCAUACUAUUGGAUGAACCCAUAUGGGAUUAGCUAGUUGGUGAGGUAAAGGCUCACCAAGGCCACGAUGCGUAGCCGGCGUGAGAGGGUGAGCGGCCACACUGGGACUGAGACACGGCCCAGACUCCUACGGGAGGCAGCAGUGGGGAAUAUUGGACAAUGGGCGCAAGCCUGAUGCAGCCAUGCCGCGUGUAUGAAGAAGGCCUUAGGGUUGUAAAGUACUUUCAGCGGGGAGGCGGUACCCGCAGAAUAAGCACCGGCUAACUACGUGCCAGCAGCCGCGGUAAUAC
rnacentral:rRNA from 1 species